UACGGAGGAUGCAAGCGUUAUCCGGAAUGAUUGGGCGUAAAGCGUCCGCAGGUGGCUGUGUAAGUCUGCUGUUAGAGAGUGAGGCUCAACCUCAUAAAGGCAGUGGAAACUACAUGGCUAGAGUGCGUUCGGGGCAGAGGGAAUUCCUGGUGUAGCGGUGAAAUGCGUAGAGAUCAGGAAGAACACCGGUGGCGAAAGCGCUCUGCUAGGCCGCAACUGACACUGAGGGACGAAAGCUAGGGGAGCGAAUGGG
rnacentral:rRNA from 1 species